UUUUCAACAUAUCCAAAAGUUGAAGGAGCCCAGUGCAAUGAUAUUGUCACUAUAUGGCUGAUUGGCUUCCUCAGGAGAUAGUAUAACACUGAGGGUCAAUUGAUUUUUGUGUGUCUGGAGC
ensembl:miRNA Mir6341 microRNA 6341